rnacentral:rRNA from 1 species
UUACCNGAGUACUAUGAAUACUAAAAAUUUAAAACUCAAAGGACUUGGCGGUGUUUUAGACCACUUAGGGGAACCUGUCUCAUAAUCGAUAAUCCACGCUAUACCUGACCUUUUCUUGUUUUCAGUUUGUAUACCGUUGUCGUCAGGUAACUUUUUAGAAAAUAGGAGUUAGCAAUAGGAAAUAGAAAUGAUUUAAUACGUCAAAUCAAGGUGCAGCUAAUGAAAGGGGGAGGAUGGGUUACAAUUAUGUAAGUUAUAAUGACGGAUAAAUAUAUGAAAUGUAUAUUAGUUAUAAGGCGGACUUAAAAGUAAAUUAGGUUAUAUAAAUAAUUUGAAUAAGGCUCUGAAACGUGU